GGUGAGGCUGAGGAGUAACCCCUGGCCUUCCUCCCGGGCAGUUCUGGGAUCGCUGCAAGCUCUUCCUGAUGCCGGCCAAGCACCAGCCCGACUACGUGUUCCUGCGGCACGUCCCGCUGCGCCGCAUCCACCUCUUCACGCUGGUGCAGAUCGUCUGCCUGGCCGUGCUCUGGAUCCUCAAAUCCACCGUGGCCGCCAUCAUCUUCCCCGUCAUGGUAACCCCGUCCUUGAUCCAAGUGGGGUUUGCUGGGAUUUAAUGGAAUUUUUGGCAUGGUUCCACCAUGGCUGCCAUCAUCUUCCCUGUCAUGGUGAUCCCAUCCUACAUUGGAAGGGUUUAGUAGAAUUUUUGGUGUGGUCCCACCAUCAUCAUCUUCCCCGUCAUGGUGAUCCCAUCCUUGAUCCAAAGGGGUUUUUUUGGGAUUUAAUGGAAUUUUUGGCAUGGUUCCAUCAUGGCUGCCAUCAUCUUCCCCGUCAUGGUAACCCCGUCCUUGAUCCAAAUGGGGUUUGCUGGGAUUUAAUGGGAUUUUUGGUGUGGUCCCACCGUGGUCCCACCAUCAUCAUCUUCCCCAUCAUGGUGAUCCCAUCCUACAUUGGAAGGGUUUUUUCGGGAUUUUUGGUGUGGUCCCACCAUCAUCAUCUUCCCUAUCAUGGUGAUCCCAUUCUACAUUGGAAGGGUUUUUUGGGAUUUUUGGCAUGGUCCCACCGUGGCUGUCACCAUCUACCCAGUCAUGGUAAUCCCAUCCUUGAACCAAAGGGGUUUUUUUUGGGAUUUAAUGGAAUUUUUGGUGUGGUUCCACCAUGGCUGUCACCAUCUACCCAGUCAUGGUAAUCCCAUCCUCGCUCCAAAGGGGUUUUUGGGAUUUAAGGGUGUUUUUGGCUUGGUGGUCACCACCAGACCUUGGCUUGAGCUGCUCCUGGACCUCUCCCCUGUCAGAUCUUGGCCCUGAUCCUGGUGAGGAGGCUCCUGGAUUUCGUCUUCUCCCAGCACGACCUGGCCUGGAUCGACAACAUCAUCCCCGAGAAGGAGAAGAAGAAGGAGGACGACAAGAAGAAGAAGAAGAAAGGCAACAAAGGCGACAGCAGCAGCGACGAGGAGGUGGGCGCGGGGUCACCGGGGGCUCCCGGGGACAGGGGGACACCCCAGAGCCGGGCAGGGUCACCCGGGCAGUGUCUCAGCUCUGUGUCCCCCCAGGAAAGAGGGCCUCCCCCCGGAGCUCUGCGUUCUGACUCGUCCCCGAACGGCUCCGACAUGGACCGCAGGUAACCGGGACCCCGAUCCCAUCCUUGGGGGGAAAUUUGGGAUCCCC
rnacentral:lncRNA from 1 species